rnacentral:rRNA from 1 species
GCUGGCGGCAGGCCUAACACAUGCAAGUCGAACGGUAACAGAAAGCAGCUUGCUGCUUUGCUGACGAGUGGCGGACGGGUGAGUAAUGUCUGGGAAACUGCCCGAUGGAGGGGGAUAACUACUGGAAACGAUAGCUAAUACCGCAUAACGUCGCAAGACCAAAGAGGGGGACCUUCGGGCCUCUUGCCAUCGGAUGUGCCCAGAUGGGAUUAGCUAGUAGGUGGGGUAACGGCUCACCUAGGCGACGAUCCCUAGCUGGUCUGAGAGGAUGACCAGCCACACUGGAACUGAGACACGGUCCAGACUCCUACGGGAGGCAGCAGUGGGGAAUAUUGCACAAUGGGCGCAAGCCUGAUGCAGCCAUGCCGCGUGUAUGAAGAAGGCCUUCGGGUUGUAAAGUACUUUCAGCGGGGAGGAAGGGAGUAAAGUUAAUACCUUUGCUCAUUGACGUUACCCGCAGAAGAAGCACCGGCUAACUCCGUGCCAGCAGCCGCGGUAAUACGGAGGGUGCAAGCGUUAAUCGGAAUUACUGGGCGUAAAGCGCACGCAGGCGGUUUGUUAAGUCAGAUGUGAAAUCCCCGGGCUCAACCUGGGAACUGCAUCUGAUACUGGCAAGCUUGAGUCUCGUAGAGGGGGGUAGAAUUCCAGGUGUAGCGGUGAAAUGCGUAGAGAUCUGGAGGAAUACCGGUGGCGAAGGCGGCCCCCUGGACGAAGACUGACGCUCAGGUGCGAAAGCGUGGGGAGCAAACAGGAUUAGAUACCCUGGUAGUACACGCCGUAAACGAUGUCGACUUGGAGGUUGUGCCCUUGAGGCGUGGCUUCCGGAGCUAACGCGUUAAGUCGACCUCAUGGGGAGUACGGCCGCAAGGUUAAAACUCAAAUGAAUUGACGGGGGCCCGCACAAGCGGUGGAGCAUGUGGUUUAAUUUGAUGCAACGCGAAGAACCUUACCUGGUCUUGACAUCCACGGAAGUUUUCAGAGAUGAGAAUGUGUCCUUCGGGAACCGUGAGACAGGUGAUGCAUGGCUGUCGUCAGCUCGUGUUGUGAAAAGUUGGGUUAAGUCCCGCAGCGAGUGCUAACAUUAUCGUUAGGUGCCAGUGGUCCGGCCGGGCACUCAAAGGAGAUUGCCAGUGAUAAAUUGGAGGAAGGUGGGGAUGGCG